rnacentral:rRNA from 1 species
GACGAAUCGUGCGAACGUUAUUCGGAAUCACUGGGCUUAAAGCGCGUGUAGGCGGGCCGGCACGUCCGAUGCUGAAAUCCCCCGGCUCAACCGGGGAAGGGGCGCGGAUACGACCGGCCUGGAGGGACGUAGGGGAGACUGGAAUUCCUGGUGUAGCGGUGAAAUGCGCAGAUAUCAGGAGGAACACCGAUGGCGAAGGCAGGUCUCUGGGCCACUACUGACGCUGAGAAGCGAAAGCAUGGGGAGCGAACAGG